GGAUGGGCAUAGAACUACGCUAGGAACUUCCUCAAACAUUGCUGAGGACUUCAUGGCUGAAAGUCAAAUAUUCAGUCCCCCUGGGAUUACAAGAGGGUUGAAGCAAUGUUGUGACAUAUCGGAACACUUUGAAAUGCAUGGACACUUUCAAAUCAUUAAAGACUCUCAAGUUAUAAUUGCAUGGCAACCUAGCAGGGGGUUGCUAGCAGCAGCACCAAGAGCACUAGAGCAACACCUGGAAAAAGAGACGCGUACAGGGACGACACACUCAAGUGUGCAUGAGAGGCAGUUUCUCCAAUUGUACAGAAGCCGUCAAAUGAUAAACUAGCAG
rnacentral:lncRNA from 1 species